ACUAAGCGUACACGGUGGAUGCCCUGGCAGUCAGAGGCGAUGAAGGACGUGCUAAUCUGCGAUAAGCGUCGGUGAGGUGAUAUGAACCGUUAUAACCGGCGAUUUCCGAAUGGGGAAACCCAGUGUGUUUCGACACACUAUCAUUAACUGAAUCCAUAGGUUAAUGAGGCGAACCGGGGGAACUGAAACAUCUAAGUACCCCGAGGAAAAGAAAUCAACCGAGAUUCCCCCAGUAGCGGCGAGCGAACGGGGAGGAGCCCAGAGCCUGAAUCAGUGUGUGUGUUAGUGGAAGCGUCUGGAAAGGCGCGCGAUACAGGGUGACAGCCCCGUACACAAAAAUGCACAUAUUGUGAGCUCGAUGAGUAGGGCGGGACACGUGGUAUCCUGUCUGAAUAUGGGGGGACCAUCCUCCAAGGCUAAAUACUCCUGACUGACCGAUAGUGAACCAGUACCGU
rnacentral:rRNA from 1 species